rnacentral:tRNA from 1 species
GGUGGCUCAGUGGUAGAGCGCUUGCCUAGCAUGCAUGAGACCCUGGGUUCGAUUCCUCAGCACCA